CAGAAGGGUGCUCCGCCACCUUUCUGGUCAUGGUGAUUGGUCAGGAAGAGGUCACAUGACCCCAGCCGGGCUAGUCACACCUCUCCCAGAAGGACGCUACUUUUCUCUCCGAUGGCUGAGUAAGUUGUGUCUCUCUACCGCAGCCUCUUGGUCCAAUGCCAGCUUCUCGGACUUCUUGGAGCCUUUAAAAUUCCAGUGUACAUUGUGAAAGCAGCAGUCUACAGCGGUUUGCAGCCACAUUUGAAUUCUUUCUUGGAAGAACAUUUCAUGGGACUGACAUUUCUCCAAAAUCACUUAGAGGAUCACUGGCCCAACUCGUCUAGUUGGUGGGGACAAAACAACUUUGCUCAAAAUAUUUGAGAAAGGGCAUGAGGGAAAUGUUGUGGCCUGCCAUUGGAAAAGCAGUGAACAUUUAGGUUACUUCAAGAAGGGAGCGUAUUUCUGGAAGGACACACGGCAAUGCCAGAACGUGGGAGACAGAGCCUUGGGACCAGCAGCUCGCCUCCCACUCCCACGCUGCGGGCUUCUCCAGAUGUCCUUGCUGCUAAGUGACACUCUCACUCCUGUGGCUGGUGUCUCUCUUAUUCACCUUCUGCUCUUAUACCUGCGGCAUGCAUGGAGCUCAGCGUGGCUGCUUUGCUUUGACUGUACCUCCCUGGGAACGUGCAACUCCCUGUCUCUCCUUUCCUGCUGCUUCUCAGGCGAACUGCCCAAAUGGGGCAUCUGACUGCUGUAGCGCAGUGCGCUACAAGCCCUUCACUCACUCAUUUAAAGAAGACCCACUGCUGCAUCUACUGCAUACCUCAAGUUUACAUUUCUAAAGCCCGUUUAUUCCUGGACUCAAAAAAUCAACUGGAAAACAAAUCCCAGCAAUCCCAGGUCCCAGAGAACUGAAUGUCCCUGAGAACCGAGCUGUAAGUCCCUCCUGACCCACCUUCCUGGCCUGCUGUGAGAGUGAGCUGUAAGUCUGAGAGUGAGGAGGGAGCCUGCGACACUGGGUAUUGUCAACUCGGGGACAUCGAGGCUGCUUCUGCAGCAUGCUGGGGAGCAACAUGGUCUUUGGAGUGAACUGGACCCAUGAGUCCAAAGUCUGGUCUUGUACUUCUGUGAGCUAUGUGCCUACAGGCAAGUUGUUCAACCCAAGAGCCUCCGUCUCCUCAUCUGACAAGGUGCUGUUCCGAGCGGCCACCUUUCAGGUACGCUGCUGGUACUAAAGGUGCAGCCCACAGAGGGGCUCACAUAGCUCCUGGUGAUGGUAAAGUCAUCCAUGCUGCCUCUAUUUGAUGAUAAUGAUGCUGUACAUUGCUUUCAUUAUCAUCUUCAUCUUCAGCAUCCUUCUAUGCUGUUGAAAGAGUUGGGCAUGGGGUAAACAACCCCACAGAGAUGAGGCUGAAUAUUGGAAUAAUUUCUAAGUCUGGCAUUUACUAAUAGUGUGGACUCAAAGUUUAAGCCCCCGUGUGCUGAUUUGCAAAAAGAGGAGUAAAAUUAAACUGGUCCUGGCAGUUGUAGUGUUCUCCUGACAGUCAGGAGGGUGGUAACCAAGCCCACUGUUAAUGGUGUUUGUAAUGGGAAUCGACACAUGGGUGUGCGGACAGGUGCAACAGACGGAAUGGCAGACGGGAUAACAUUGCUCUCUCUCGCUUUCACCCUCAUGCCCAGCCUAGGGGUGAAGACAAUGACCACUUUAGUCUUUUUAAGGGGACAUCCUGGAGGGGACGCGUUGGGAGUGCGAAGGUGCUGGUUUGCUCAUUAUUAUGACAUCUAAAUCGCCAUUUGCUUUCUGGUCAAGUUUAUGUUUUUUUUCAUUCUAAAAGUAAUACAUGCCAUCAUAGAUAAUUUUGAAAUGACACAAAACAGGAACAUCCAUUUCUUAUUCAUAUUGUUUUCUUUUUCUGUUUUGCCUGUUAAGAAAAGCAAGUAUUUUCUUAAAUCGAGGUAUAAUACCAAUUUUUUAAAAUCCGGCAAUGUUAACACACAAAACACCAGGACAUCGCCACUGAAGCUCCGCAGAACCCUCCGGUUGGCUGCUCUGCUGGCUGCGGGUGUAGACUCACUUGGCUGCUUAGUGAAAUGCAGUCUCGGGCCUCGCCCCAGUGAUGCUGACUGGGUAGGCCUGGGUAGGACCCUGCAAUCUCCAUUUUUAACAAGCUUUCCGCAGGAAAGGGUGCAGGUAGGAGGCUCCUGAGCCUCACCCUAGAAUGACUCUAAAGCCCAGCACCUCUGGGAUCGCACAGCAGUGUCCAGGAGGGGAACCAGGGAGUGUGAAUCCCAGCCUGCUCCUUGUUCCAGGCGCCCCAGUCCUACGCUUCCAUGUCUGGAUUCUGGCUCUUGAGCGUGUGGCGAGCAAGUCAGCCUGAGCACGUGCCUCCUCUUCCCUUGACCCUUGGCCCUGGAGGUCACAAAAUGCCCUUCUGUCAGGGACGAACAUGGGCUCCACCACCCAGUUCACAGCAGCCUGAAAUCUGAGAGGCACUGUGGGACUUCCAGUCCCCUGAGGACACAGUGAUGGGCUUAACAUCUACUUUCCAAGAGAAGCAGGGAUGGAGGUUGAUGGGAACAAGGGCAGCACCUAACAUUUUCAGGGGACACGAUACAGCAAACAGAUGUGUGUGUGAUGGUUCCUUUUGGUAUUCUUGGGUUAUCACUGAGGACAACUUUUCUAGGCCACUCAGUGUCUCUUCCCCUCCUCGUUCUCUCUGUCUCUGUCUGUUUCUGUGUCUCUGUGUAUCUCUCUGUGUCUGUCUCUGUCUGUUUCUGUGUCUCUUCCCCCCAUCUCUCUCUCUCUCCUUAUUCCAGGACAGAAAACAAACACAGGUUUAAGGGAGAACUAGAACUUCUUUCUACAACUUACAACAAGGCUAUGUCUGUGUUCUCCCAGGGUGUAGUCUCCCAGGUGAUGAGGCUCUCCCCACCACAUCCCCUAUGCCUGCUCUGCAAAAUGAUGCACAGUGAGACCCAAAAGCUCCCUAAAGGGCCCUUCUGCACCCUGGCUGAAUCUCGCACUGCUCACCUCCCUAUAGGAGUGCAGCAGAAACAACACCUUGAUUACCUGACCCACGAUCCUCUUUGCUAAGUACCCCAAUCCUGGUCUUUAACAGCCUGUUCAGAUUUUAUCUAAAUAGGGCAGGCAUGAGAGCAAGCCCUGUGCUACUGAAGUAAAGAAACUGUAUCAUGUAAUUUCUUGGAAUUUGUGCCCUUCCUUCUGCUGGGUGCUGCCAGGGUUCCUGGCCAGCGUGGGACUCUCCUUUCCCCUGCUGCUCCUCUGCCUGCUUGGCAUCUCCAAGAGCCUGCUCCUCACCAACUGGCGUCCAGGUGGUCGGCCGGGGGUGGGGGUGGGUGCUCUGGAGGGCGGAGCGAGGGACAGCCCCGUCUCCGGCAGCCCUGGGGGAGUCCUCUCGGUGGGCUCAUCUCCUCCGGGCCCUCCUGCUCUGCUCUCCUCCUCUCGCCCUGC